rnacentral:rRNA from 1 species
UACGAAGGGGGCGAGCGUUGUUCGGAAUUACUGGGCGUAAAGGGCGCGCAGGCGGCCUUAGAAGUCAGAUGUGAAAGCCCCCGGGCUCAACCUGGGAAUGGCAUUUGAUACUCUGAGGCUGGAGUACGGGAGAGGAGAGUGGAAUUCCCAGUGUAGAAGGUGAAAUUCGUAGAUAUUGGGAAGAACACCGGUGGCGAAGGCGGCUCUCUGGACCGUAACUGACGCUGAGGCGCGAAAGCGUGGGGAGCAAACAGGG